AUACAUGAGCAAAAUCUCAACUUUAUUAGAAGAGACGCAUUUAUUAGAUAAAAAGCCAAUGCAUGCUUUUACAGUAUGGAAAUUGGUGAUUUAUAAUAACUUGGCAAAUCGCAAAGUGAAAACAGGCGAUAAAUCAUUCAAGUUUCUGACCUAUCAGCUUUCGACGGUAUGGUAUUGGCUUACCGUGGCAGUGACGGUUAACGGGGGAUUAGGGUUCGAUUCCGGAGAGGGAGCCUGAGAAACGGCUACCACAUCUAAGGAAGGCAGCAGGCGCGCAAAUUACCCAAUUCUAACAGUUUGAGAGAGGUAGUAACAAGAAAUAACAAUACAAGGCAAUUAAAAUGUUUUGUAAUUGGAAUGAUAGAAAUUUAAACCCUUUUUAAAGUAUCAAUUGGAGGGCAAGUCUGGUGCCAGCAGCCGCGGUAAUUCCAGCUCCAAUAGCGUAUAUUAAAAUUGUUGCAGUUAAAAAGCUCGUAGUUGAAGUUCUGCUAAAAGUAACCGGUCUGCUUUUAAUAAAAGUGGUAUCUUGGUGUGUAUUUAGCAAUGAUGUCCUUUGAAGUGUUUUUUACUUUAUUGUAAUAAAGCAUAUUCAGGACUUUUACUUUGAGAAAAUUAGAGUGUUUCUAGCAGGCCGACGCUUUGAAUACUGCAGCAUGGAAUAAUAAG
rnacentral:rRNA from 1 species